AGUUGAUCAUGGCUCAGGAUGAACGCUAGCGACAGGCUUAACACAUGCAAGUCGAGGGGCAUCACGGGAGUAGCAAUACAACUGGUGGCGACCGGCGCACGGGUGAGUAACGCGUAUGCAACCUACCUAUCAGAGGGGAAUAACCCGGCGAAAGUCGGACUAAUACCGCAUAAAACAGGGGCACCGCAUGGUGAUAUUUGUUAAAGAAAUUCGCUGAUAGAUGGCAUGCGUUCCAUUAGGUAGUUGGUGAGGUAACGGCUCACCAAGCCGACGAUGGAUAGGGGAACUGAGAGGUUGGUCCCCCACACUGGUACUGAGACACGGACCAGACUCCUACGGGAGGCAGCAGUGAGGAAUAUUGGUCAAUGGGCGGGAGCCUGAACCAGCCAAGUCGCGUGAAGGAAAAGAAGGAUCUAUGGUUCGUAAACUUCUUUUGCAGGGGAAUAAAGUGCAGGACGUGUCCUGUUUUGUAUGUACCCUGAGAAUAAGGAUCGGCUAACUCCGUGCCAGCAGCAGC
rnacentral:rRNA from 1 species